rnacentral:ncRNA from 2 species
AACUAACACUAGGAGUGUCCGUGUACGGGCUGAGAUGUGACCUUGUCGCAAUUCCUUUGAACCUGUCAAGUCCAUGCUUGCGAAGGGAACGUGUUUUGACUGGCGA